UACCAGCACCCCGAGUGGUCGGGACGAUUAUUGGGCCUAAAGCAUCCGUAGCCGGUUCUACAAGUCUUCCGUUAAAUCCACCUGCUCAACAGAUGGGCUGCGGAGGAUACUAUAGAGCUAGGAGGCGGGAGAGGCAGGCGGUACUUAGUGGGUAGGGGUAAAAUCCGUUGAUCCAUUGAAGACCACCAGUGGCGAAGGCGGCUUGCCAGAACGCACUCGACGGUGAGGGAUGAAAGCUGGGGGAGCAAACCGG
rnacentral:rRNA from 1 species